rnacentral:tRNA from 1 species
GGGCACUUAGCUCAGUGGUAGAGCGCUUCGUUUACAUCGAAGAUGCCGGGGGUUCAAAUCCCUCAGUGCCCA